AAGCAGAUCCAGAACGCCAUGGCUACCAAACAUGACCUGCCGCAAAGCCUGUCUAAGAACAUUUUUGGCAGCUGGAAAUGUUCCUGCCUACCAGUCUGUCACAGACGGCAUGUGCCAUGGGCUACCAGCACUGAGCAACUCUCUCAGGAAGAGCAUUUUUGCCUCACAGCUCAGCCUGCCCCAGCCACUGGAUCCACGGAGCCUCCAGGCAUUUGAGCUGUUUCCUUGGAGAGCAUUUCUGGAAGAUGGAGGACCAUUCCCAGUUAUGAGUAACAGCCCAGAUACCCUAGAAUAUAAUAUGCAGGUAGGAUAGGUCUUCUCCAUUGUUGCAGAGAGAACUGAGCGCAGACUGCAAAGAUGGUUGCCAUUGGGUUCACAGGUCAGAUCCUCCUACUCUCACCCACGAUGAAUAAUGUGUGAGAUAAGCAGGGUGUUUGAUUUUGAGGCUGUAAACCCAGGGUCACGAGGUGAGUCACAUUUUCUUAUGAUAGAAGGGAAGCAUGCUCUCAACUGGCAUGGGCCUGGGUUGUAGACUCAGCUGCAGUUUUCGUAACAGUAGUGAUCUGGGAGAAUGGCCAGUCAUCUCCAGUCAUGGGCUGGGCCUCUUAGAGAAACUCCCAGGCUGGCAGCUCAGAGAUGUGUGACUCCUGACCUGUCCAUAAACAGUUGUGGGAAGGGAACUUUUUAAAGCAGGACUCGUAGGGAGAAUUUCUUUUCAUUGUUUUCUUUUUUGCUGUUAACUUCCUUUAAAUAGUUUGAUUCUUUUCAUUAUUAAAUGUUUUCCCCUGAUUAUUUAA
ensembl:lncRNA novel transcript